rnacentral:rRNA from 1 species
UACGGAGGGUGCAAGCGUUGUUCGGAUUUAUUGGGCGUAAAGCGCGUGUAGGCGGUUUCUUAAGUCUGAUGUGAAAGCCCUGGGCUCAACCCAGGAAGUGCAUUGGAUACUGGGAGACUUGAAUACGGGAGAGGGUAGUGGAAUUCCUAGUGUAGGAGUGAAAUCCGUAGAUAUUAGGAGGAACACCGGUGGCGAAGGCGGCUUCCUGGACCGACACUGACGCUGAGAAGCGAAAGCAUGGGGAGCGAACAGG